UGGGGAAUUUUGGACAAUGGGGGAAACCCUGAUCCAGCCAUCCCGCGUGUGCGAUGAAGGCCUUCGGGUUGUAAAGCACUUUUGGCAGGAAAGAAACGUCAUGGGUUAAUACCCCGUGAAACUGACGGUACCUGCAGAAUAAGCACCGGCUAACUACGUGCCAGCAGCCGCGGUAAUACGUAGGGUGCAAGCGUUAAUCGGAAUUACUGGGCGUAAAGCGUGCGCAGGCGGUUCGGAAAGAAAGAUGUGAAAUCCCAGAGCUCAACUUUGGAACUGCAUCUUUAACUACCGGGCUAGAGUGUGUCAGAGGGAGGUGGAAUUCCGCGUGUAGCAGUGAAAUGCGUAGAUAUGCGGAGGAACACCGAUGGCGAAGGCAGCCUCCUGGGAUAACACUGACGCUCAUGCACGAAAGCGUGGGGAGCAAACAGG
rnacentral:rRNA from 1 species